CCUACGGGAGGCAGCAGUGGGGAAUUUUGGACAAUGGGCGCAAGCCUGAUCCAGCAAUGCCGCGUGAGUGAAGAAGGCCUUCGGGUUGUAAAGCUCUUUUGUCAGGGAAGAAAAGGGUCUGGCUAAUAUCUAGGCCUCAUGACGGUACCUGAAGAAUAAGCACCGGCUAACUACGUGCCAGCAGCCGCGGUAAUACGUAGGGUGCAAGCGUUAAUCGGAAUUACUGGGCGUAAAGCGUGCGCAGGCGGUUUUGUAAGACUGUCGUGAAAUCCCCGGGCUCAACCUGGGAAUGGCGAUGGUGACUGCAAGGCUAGAGUUUGGCAGAGGGGGGUAGAAUUCCACGUGUAGCAGUGAAAUGCGUAGAUAUGUGGAGGAACACCGAUGGCGAAGGCAGCCCCCUGGGUCAAAACUGACGCUCAUGCACGAAAGCGUGGGGAGCAAACAGGAUUAGAUACCCUGGUAGUCCACGCCCUAAACGAUGUCUACUAGUUGUCGGGUCUUAAUUGACUUGGUAACGCAGCUAACGCGUGAAGUAGACCGCCUGGGGAGGACGGUCGUCGAGAGUUAAACUACUUAAUUAGAAGUUGNGGCGNGAGAGNGCCGACGGACGACGACGAGGGAGGAGG
rnacentral:rRNA from 1 species